AACGAACGCUGGCGGCAUGCCUAACACAAGCAAGUCGAACGAGACCUUCGGCUCUAGUGGCGCACGGGUGCGUAACGCGUGGGAACCUGCCCUUAGGUUCGGAAUAACUCCCCGAAAGGGGUGCUAAUACCGGAUAAUGUCUUCGGACCAAAGAUUUAUCGCCUUUGGAUGGGCCCGCGUUGGAUUAGCUAGUUGGUAGGGUAAAAGCCUACCAAGGCGACGAUCCAUAGCUGGUCUGAGAGGAUGAUCAGCCACACUGGGACUGAGACACGGCCCAGACUCCUACGGGAGGCAGCAGUGGGGAAUAUUGGACAAUGGGCGAAAGCCUGAUCCAGCAAUGCCGCGUGAGUGAUGAAGGCCUUAGGGUUGUAAAGCUCUUUUACCCGGGAUGAUAAUGACAGUACCGGGAGAAUAAGCUCCGGCUAACUCCGUG
rnacentral:rRNA from 1 species